rnacentral:rRNA from 1 species
GAUGAACGCUGGCGGCGUGCCUAAUACAUGCAAGUCGAGCGAACAGACGAGGAGCUUGCUCCUUCGACGUUAGCGGCGGACGGGUGAGUAACACGUAGGUAACCUACCUAUAAGACUGGGAUAACUUCGGGAAACCGGAGCUAAUACCGGAUAAUAUUUCGAACCGCAUGGUUCGAUAGUGAAAGAUGGCUUUGCUAUCACUUAUAGCUGGACCUGCGCCGUAUUAGCUAGUUGGCAAGGUAACGGCUUACCAAGGCAACGAUACGUAGCCGACCUGAGAGGGUGAUCGGCCACACUGGAACUGAGACACGGUCCAGACUCCUACGGGAGGCAGCAGUAGGGAAUCUUCCGCAAUGGGCGAAAGCCUGACGGAGCAACGCCGCGUGAGUGAUGAAGGUCUUCGGAUCGUAAAACUCUGUUAUUAGGGAAGAACAAACGUGUAAGUAACUGUGCACGUCUUGACGGUACCUAAUCAGAAAGCCACGGCUAACUACGUG